CCUACGGGGGGCUGCAGUCGAGAAUCUUCGGCAAUGGGCGAAAGCCUGACCGAGCAAUGCCGCGUGCGGGAUGAAGGCCCUCGGGUUGUAAACCGCGAAAGUAAGGAGGAAGGACCUGCGAAGAGCAGGUUUUGACCGAUCUACAGUAAGGACGGGCUAAGUUCGUGCCAGCAGCCGCGGUAACACGAACCGUCCAAACGUUAUUCGGAAUUAUUGGGCUUAAAGGGUGCGUAGGCGGCGCUUUAAGUCGGGUGUGAAAUCCUUCGGCUCAACCG
rnacentral:rRNA from 1 species